UACGGAGGGUGCAAGCGUUCUCCGGAUUCACUGGGUUUAAAGGGUGCGUAGGUGGGCAGGUAAGUCAGUGGUGAAAUCUCUGGGCUUAACUCAGAAACUGCCAUUGAUACUAUCUGUCUUGAAUACCGUGGAGGUCAGCGGAAUAUGUCAUGUAGCGGUGAAAUGCUUAGAUAUGACAUAGAACACCAAUUGCGAAGGCAGCUGGCUACACGAAUAUUGACACUGAUGCACGAAAGCGUGGGGAUCAAACAGG
rnacentral:rRNA from 1 species